rnacentral:lncRNA from 1 species
GCUUCUGGUUUGUUCUCAAUUCCUGUUUUCUUCAGAUGAAGGGUAUAGAGGGUUUCCAAAAACUUCAAAAAGGAGUCCAGUGGAACGGACUUUGUUUGAAUUAUGCAUUACAAAGGGUAGACACAUGCACCUUAGUCAAUAUUCUGUGAGAAUGAAGGAAGAUUGCCAAUGGUGUUUUUAUAAGACGACCAACAAUGUAAUGCAUACAACCUUAGAGGAAAUCAGAGAAACGGUUUUACAAAGGAACUCAUGAGUGUUGCCUUAAUUAUUUGUAAGAAUAGUAAUCAGUGAUCAGACUUACCAGUCCACCAACAAGAUGUUACAGGCCACUUAUUGGCAUGUUUGUGAAUGGUUGAGACCUUGUGGGACAUUAACAAAUAGAAAGAGAAUGGUUAAAGACAAAGGACAACUGAGCACAAAUGUUUUUAUGGCAAGGUUUAUAGGGUAUUUAGUAGAUUCUCAAAUCUAGAGUAGUGCUGUCUACACUACUGACCAGUUAUGAGUAUUGAUCUAUAAAUUAAAUACAAUUUACAUUCAGCUGCCUGGUCACAUUUUGAAUGACCCAUAGACACACAUGACUCAUGGCUGCCAUUGUGGGGUACACACAAUCCUUCUAUCAUUGCAGAAAGUUUUAAUGUAAGAUACUAUAAUGUUUCAAUUGAACUGUUUGCUUUUGAAGGAAAUAGUGGAGGAAGGAGGGAUGGGAGGAAGGAAGGAAGAAAGGAAGGAAGGAAGGGAGGAAGAAAGGAAAGAAGGAAGGAAGGAAAGAAGGAUGGACAGAAGGGUAUUUGAUAGCUCUUAGAUAUAUUGUAACAAUUAUUUUCUUGUAACCUAAGAGAAUCCUCAUAAAGAAAUGAUGAGAAUACCAGUUGACAUGGCUUUGUGUCUCCAUAGUGUUUCCUUGAGAAAAACCACUUCAAUUUUCAUGAGUCUCAAUCUUCUCAUUGGAAGAAAAAUUAAAUAUAUUUUCCUGUCUUUUGCAAGAUUGUCUUACAAACUGACUAAUACAGAUGUAAAUACUGUUGAAACCUUACAGCAAAGUGAUCUGUAAAGCACAUCUGUAUGGCAAGCACCAAAUUGCACACAAGGGAAGAAGAAUUCAUCAAUCCAAAAGGCAACUGGACAAUCAAGGCAGUACAUUCUUGAGAAAAUGUCAAAGCGCAUAUCAAAACCACUUGAGUUUCUUUUUGUCCAUUUUUUUUCUGCUACUUUCUCUUAUUUGACAAAUGUCCUUCAUCUACCCCAUUUGCCUCGACUCUUUCUUAUUUGGAGUCACUGUGUGCCUCUGGUUUGUUCUACUCAGGAAUCUCAGCGUCUUAGCAGGGGUUCUUUUGAAAGCAAAAUAAACGACACUCAAACAUUAGUUAUCUCAGAUUUAUUUUAUUUCUAUUAAAAAAGUAAGGAGCUAUAACAUUGCUAUAUAAAUGUGGGGAAAACUUACUUUUGAUGUAAAUUCUACAAAUGACAGACUUUAUAACAGAAAUAAAAUUACCUUAAAGU